rnacentral:lncRNA from 1 species
GGUUGCUUGCCCUUUGAGAUCAUAAACAGACCAUAAUGGCAGCAUAUUUCCAGAGUCAUGACUCUUAGCAGAAAGUCAGUUUAGUUACUACUUUGUUUUCUCUGCUGCUGAGGAAUAGUCUAGUAAACUCUGAGAUAAUUCACAAGAUGAGUUGUAGUUACACAUCGUGGAGCAUAUAGGGGCUAAGAGCAGGGAGGAAGGCAAGCUACAGCUACGUCCGUUACUUCACAGUAAUAAUGCUGAUUAUAGCUCUAAAGUAUCUUGAAAAUCUCUAAUGGCUUUAUUCUACCAAAGUCAGUCUAAACAUGUUUGCCAGUGUUGCUUUCUUUCAAAGACUGGUAUUAGCAACAUUGAGUUAAAUGGUUCUAAAUGCAUGAGUAUUUUUUGAGAAUGCAGGCUUGUCUUGGCUCCUUAACUGCAAACUAUUAAUCUUAAAUUAUGUCUUAAAGAAACUUCCAUAGUGACCCAUCAGAUGGAAUGAAUACAUUUCUUCAUGGGCAGCCAACACAGUGUGUGCUUAGCCAAGAGCCAGUGACUUAAAAAUGAAAUCACAUGGCUCAUGCAAUUUGGAUAUUACUUUAGAAAGCAAAACCAGUAAGAGGAAGGCUUGGAUCUUUAGCCACCGUGCCUUGGCAUGCUGGCUUGCAAAGUGCUUUCUCUGCAGGACUCUGCACUUUGCACCCAGGAAGUCAUUCACGGCUGCUCCAUUGCCACAGAUUUCAAAUCCAACGCAGACAUUUGAAGAUUUUUAAGUUAUUUUUUCCAGAAAGGUUAAUGCUUUGUGAAGGAAAUGUAGAUUUUUGUCUUCAAAAGAGUGAUUAUUAAUAUCAGUUAUGUAUAGCUCUAUUUUUCUAGGAACAAAGUAUUCUGACUACUUCAAUAACUUUUAUAGCUGACUACUUUUGGGAAAGUUAACUUUUGGGAUUUGAAAUAAUUCAUUGCUUAAUAAUCUGAAAAUGGAAGUGUUAGAGUAUGACAGUUACUUUAAGGAAUGGUCGCUCCCCUAGUGUAAUAAGCCUGUUGCUGGCAAUGGGCCUACAUAAGAACAGCUGGGUUUUCUGAUAAGAAAUGUAAUUUUUGGAACAUAGUUUGUAAGCUCACAUUUACUACACUGGGCCAACCUUCAACCUACAUAAUACUUGACUAAUAUGUGAUCUGACCCCUUGGCAGGUGGUUACUUUGACUUUAACAAAACAUUUGUUUUUUAAAAAAAACAUGAAAUUGAGAGCUCUGUGAGUGGUGUGAGCGGGAGCUCCAGUUGUCUCGGAUGGUACUGUGCAGAAGGGUUCAGUGUUUCCACAGGGGUACAGGAGGCCAUCCAGGAGGUGGCCUUCAGAACCUCUGGGCAGGUUUAUGUCAUGGGGAGGAGGGCUGUGUCAGUCUGAUUUUCAGAAGUGCUUUAAGGUGGUGGUGGCCUGGGUUAAGUGGGUUCUAUGUAUAAAAGUGGUACCGUAGGCUUUUUUUUUUUUUUUCAAAGGUGUUUGUUACAGCAAAGUCCAUGGGCGCCAACUCACCUUGAGGUUUUAGAGAAUUAUUUAUUUCUUUACAAUGCACUUUCUAACCCAUUUUUUAGCUAUAUUAGCAUUAUCUUUAAGAAGAAAAGAUGUUUUUAUAUUUAAAUGUUGUGGGAUUUGAGUGUCUUUUCCAAAAAUAGCAUAUUUCUUGAAAGAAAAUGAGGAGCUACCUUGGCCUCUUGGGGACUAUCCCAUUGUUUAAAUGUGCUUCCUCUCCCAAGUCAGGGCUGCAGGGGGGUUGGGGUGGGGGUUGGGGUAGGGGGAGGCUUCCCUGGUUCCUUCUCACUUGAGCCAGGUCAGUGUGGAGCUGAGUGAGGAAGCAUACACUCAAACAGGAUCCUUCCAAGCCAUGUGCAGCCUUGGAACAAUGGACUUGCUUUCCCAUGGUCAGCUUUUACCUUGUGGGAGUAAUUCUUUUCUGGGGGGUUGGGGGUGGAUUAUCUACAUUGUAGAUGGACAAGCCAGAACAUGAAAAACAAUUCUGGAACAUUUUACUGUAUUUUCACACCCAAAACAAAAUGCUGGGUACCUUUAUCCUAAGAGGCAUAAUUUGAGCAGGGAGGGUUUCCAUCAAGUUUACCUUGGAGGGUCUCGGGAGGCUGUUUGUAUGUGUGUGUCUUGUCAGCAUCUGUUAUUUUGAGUUCCUGAAAAUUUUGAGGGAAAAGAAAACCUAAUGUGAAGUAUUUGGUAGGUAAACUGUUUUUGAGUGUUUUUACUGUUUUACAAGCAGAUACCAUUUGAACAAAAAAAUGUCAUUAACCUGCUGUCUUAAGGUAGUCCUACACAAAUCUGGAGAGCGGAUUGGCAAUAGGAAAUGUUUAUUUUAGUACUGCAUUUCAGUUAAGUGGUUAACAGUGUUAAGAGGUCUUGGGAAAGUGGAGAAGGCUUUUGUUGUCUUCGAAAUCGAAACUGCCCUAGUGCUUCACGACCUGGAAAAUGGGACUGUAAUCACACUAUUUUGAUACAGUGCUGCAUAUAUACAUAUGUGUAUGUAUAUGCUGAUCUUGUUUUGUUUUACUAACAAGCUCUGGAAUAUUUAGCAGUCAUUUUCACUGGCACAAGAGCCUUUUGUAUAUUAAUCAAUUUAAACUUUUAAACCAAAAAUGUUAAGGUUCAGUGUCAGGCAAAAAAAGAUGCUGAGGAGAAUGUAACAUAGAAUUGAUAUGUGGUUAUAUAAAAAGACACAAAUGGCCAUGAUAUGGGUCUGCCUUGAAACAGCACAAUGGGGUGUCAGUGUGUCUGAUUCUCUGAGACGCUCUCGAGUUGGUCCUGUCUACUGCCGCCUGUGCUCUGGGCCACAGGCAUAGUUGAUGGGGCUCAUCUUGAACUCGAGUGCGGCAACCUUUUCCCUAACUUGUGUGUGUUUUAUGACUGUGUGUUAUUUCCAAAGCUGUUCCUACCUCACCAUGAGGCUUUAUGGAUUGUUAUGUACUAUAAAUGUUCUAUAUGAGACAAGACUACUGUGUUUCUUCUCAUUUAUUAAAAGUUAAGUAGAAAAAUAAAC